UACAGAGGGGGCAAGCGUUAUUCGGAAUUAUUGGGCGUAAAGGGUGCGUAGGCGGCGCGGUAAGUCGGGUGUGAAAUCUUGGAGCUUAACUCCGAAACUGCAUUCGAUACUGCCGUGCUUGAGGACUGGAGAGGAGACUGGAAUUUACGGUGUAGCGGUGAAAUGCGUAGAUAUCGUAAGGAAGACCAGUGGCGAAGGCGGGUCUCUGGACAGUUCCUGACGCUGAAGCACGAAGGCCAGGGGAGCAAACGGG
rnacentral:rRNA from 1 species